UUCUUGCUGGGUGCAGCAGAAGUAUUCACAUUUAUUGGACAGCUUGAGUUUUUCUAUGAUCAAUCUCCAGAUGCCAUGAGGAGUUUGUGUAGUGCAUUAUCACUAUUGACCACUGCUUUGGGGAAUUACCUCAGUUCAUUCAUUCUAACCAUCGUCACUUACUUAACAACAAGAAAUGGGCAGUCUGGGUGGAUACCAGAUAACUUAAACGAGGGCCAUUUGGAUUUAUUCUUCUGGCUGUUAGCUGGACUUAGCUUCUUGAAUUUGUUGGUUUAUACUGUCUGUGCCAAACGCUACCGCCCAAAGAAGGCUACUCAAGUGUGAAGAAACAAGAUGAUGCUGCAC
rnacentral:lncRNA from 1 species